rnacentral:rRNA from 1 species
CUAUGGACGGGAAUAACCUCGGGAAACUGAGAAUAAUGCCCGAUAGAACAUUAUACCUGGAAUGGUUUAUGUUCCAAAUGAUUUAUCGCCGUAGGAUGGGACUGCGGCCUAUCAGUUUGUUGGUGAGGUAAUGGCCCACCAAGACUAUUACAGGUACGGGCUCUGAGAGGAGUAGCCCGGAGAUGGGUACUGAGACACGGACCCAGGCCCUAUGGGGCGCAGCAGGCGAGAAAACUUUGCAAUGUGCGAAAGCACGACAAGGUUAAUCCGAGUGAUUUCUGCUAAAGAAAUCUUUUGUUAGUCCUAGAAACACUAACGAAUAAGGGGUGGGCAAGUUCUGGUGUCAGCCGCCGCGGUAAAACCAGCACCUCAAGUGGUCAGGAUGAUUAUUGGGCCUAAAGCAUCCGUAGCCGGCUCUGUAAGUUUUCGGUUAAAUCUGUACGCUCAACGUACAGGCCGCCGGGAAUACUGCAAAGCUAGGGAGUGGGAGAAGUAGACGGUACUCGGUAGGAAGUGGUAAAAUGCUUUGAUCUAUCGAUGACCACCUGUGGCGAAGGCGGUCUACUAGAACACGUCCGACGGUGAGGGAUGAAAGCUGGGGGAGCAAACCGGAUUAGAUACCCGGGUAGUCCCAGCUGUAAACUAUGCAAACUCAGUGAUGCAUUGGCUUGUGGCCAAUGCAGUGCUGCAGGGAAGCCGUUAAGUUUGCCGCCUGGGAAGUACGUACGCAAGUAUGAAACUUAAAGGAAUUGGCGGGGGAGCACCACAAGGGGUGAAGCCUGCGGUUCAA